AUCCAUCUGGCGAGUCCCGAAUAGGACGAAACAUGUGUCCUGGAU
rnacentral:hammerhead_ribozyme from 1 species